rnacentral:tRNA from 1 species
UAAAAUAAAGCGAUUAACUUGCAAUCAGUUUCGACCUGAUCCUAGAAAAAAAAAUUCUAUUUUUU